GUGGGGAAUAUUGGACAAUGGGCGAAAGCCUGAUCCAGCCAUGCCGCGUGUGUGAAGAAGGUCUUCGGAUUGUAAAGCACUUUAAGUUGGGAGGAAGGGCAGUAAGUUAAUACCUUGCUGUUUUGACGUUACCGACAGAAUAAGCACCGACUAACUUCGUGCCAGCAGCCGCGGUAAUACGAAGGGUGCAAGCGUUAAUCGGAAUUACUGGGCGUAAAGCGCGCGUAGGUGGUUUUGUAAGUUGGAGGUGAAAUCCCCGGGCUCAACCUGGGAACUGCCUCCAAAACUGCAUGACUAGAGUACGGUAGAGGGUAGUGGAAUUUCCUGUGUAGCGGUGAAAUGCGUAGAUAUAGGAAGGAACACCAGUGGCGAAGGCGACUACCUGGACUGAUACUGACACUGAGGUGCGAAAGCGUGGGGAGCAAACAGGAUUAGAUACCCCUGUAGUCC
rnacentral:rRNA from 1 species